AGCUUUUCUAGGUUGUCGGCGACCCUAUAUAGUUCUUGCAGUGCCUUUUUAAAUUUGAAACUUCACACUAUCCUUGGAUCCCUAGUUGAUAUCUUCAUUCGUUAGUCUCACUUUGCUUUCAUGUUCCUUUUUUCUUGUCUUCAGUAAUCUCCAUGUUUCUCCAACAUACGCUGCCUUCUCACAUUUGCACGGAAUCUUGUACACAACACCUUUCUGCUUCUCACGAAGUGGUUGUUGGGAUCUUGUCUUUAGAUCUUUGACUUUCUUUCCUGGUUUGAAUGCCGUUUGAAAAGAAUGUUUCAAAGCUAACUGUUCUGAUAUUCUCCGAACAUACGGUACUAUCACCUUUCCUCGAUAUUGUUGUUCUUCCAUUUCUCUUUCACCCCGUACAUUCUGCUUCAUAUACUGUUUAACUACCUUUCUGUCAUACCCAUUCGCCACAAACACAUCUUCAACAUUCUUUAACUCAUCUUCCAAGUGUUUAUCGUCACAUAACGCUCGCGCUGUGUCCACAAAUCCCUUAAUGAUUCCUUUCUUCAUACUGGGAGGAUGGUUCGAUCUUUCUUUGACAUUGAUGUUCGUAUGUGUCUUCUUGUAGUGAACCAUACACUCGACCUGCUUUGUCUUCCUAUCCACCCUUUGCUUCAAAUCCAGUACGGGUAAAACAUUAUCUUCCUGAUCUUCCAAUACUUGAACACCUCAACAAUAUCAAACCGGGGGUUAAUGUGUUCACCAAGGAAGAUCAGGAAGAUAAAGUUUUACCCGUACUGGAUUUGAAGCAAAGGGUGGAUAGGAAGACAAAGCAGGUCGAGUGUAUGGUUCACUACAAGAAGACACAUACGAACAUCAAUGUCAAAGAAAGAUCGAACCAUCCUCCCAGUAUGAAGAAAGGAAUCAUUAAGGGAUUUGCGGACAGAGCGCGAGCGUUAUGUGACGAUAAACACUUGGAAGAUGAGUUAAAGAAUGUUGAAGAUGUGUUUGUGGCGAAUGGGUAUGACAGAAAGGUAGUUAAACAGUAUAUGAAGCAGCUUGUACGGGGUGAAAGAGAAAUGGAAGAACAACAAUAUCGAGGAAAGGUGAUAGUACCGUAUGUUUGCGGAAUAUCAGAACAGUUUAAGAGAGUAGCUUUGAAACAUUCUUUUCAAACGGCAUUCAAACCAGGAAAGAAAGUCAAAGAUCUAAAGAC